rnacentral:rRNA from 1 species
UACGUAGGUGGCAAGCGUUGUCCGGAAUUACUGGGUGUAAAGGGAGCGCAGGCGGGAAGCCAAGUCAGCUGUGAAGACUACGGGCUUAACUUGUAGACUGCAGUUGAAACUGGUUUUCUUGAGUGAAGUAGAGGUUUGCGGAAUUCCGAGUGUAGCGGUGAAAUGCGUAGAUAUUCGGAGGAACACCGGUGGCGAAGGCGGCCAACUGGGCUUUAACUGACGCUGAGGCUCGAAAGUGUGGGGAGCAAACAGG